rnacentral:rRNA from 1 species
AUGGAAACUGCAAUUUCUGAUGUGCUCCCUCACACAACCCAUAGGUGUUGCAAGUGGCAUGUACAUCGGAAGGCGCGUGAGAAACUUGGGAGGAUGCUUACAAGGGAUUCAAUUUUUGAGAAAACUUUCUAUGAAUGCAUCAAUGAAUCCAAGACAGUGGAUGAAUUUGAAGAAACAUGGCAACACAUGUUGCAUUGCUUCGAGUACACGGAGAAUAGGCACUUACAAAACAUGUGGGAAUGCCGUCAGACAUGGGCUCCUGCAUACUUCAAAAAUUAUUUCUUCCCUUUCACAAGCAUAACCGGGAGACCAGAAGGGCUGAAUUCUUAUUUCAAGACGUUGGUGCAUCUACAAAACUCGGUUUUCACAUUUGUAAGGCAGUAUGAAUUCCUACAAGAAACAAUGCUAGACCGUGAAGAUAAUGUUGCUUUCACUGGAGAAACGACAACAUCGACAGCUUAUAAUGUAACGCAGCAUCUUUGGCAAGUUCCAAGAGCAAGCGGCAGCAUCAACAGCUUAUAUAAUCAAACAAGUGCCUAA